AUUGAACGCUGGCGGAAUGCUUUACACAUGCAAGUCGAACGGCAGCACGGACUUCGGUCUGGUGGCGAGUGGCGAACGGGUGAGUAAUAUAUCGGAACGUGCCCAGUCGUGGGGGAUAACGUAGUGAAAAUUACGCUAAUACCGCAUACGAUCUAAGGAUGAAAGCGGGGGAUCGCAAGACCUCGCGCGAUUGGAGCGGCCGAUAUCAGAUUAGGUAGUUGGUGGGGUAAAGGCUCACCAAGCCAACGAUCUGUAGCUGGUCUGAGAGGACGACCAGCCACACUGGAACUGAGACACGGUCCAGACUCCUACGGGAGGCAGCAGUGGGGAAUUUUGGACAAUGGACGCAAGUCUGAUCCAGCCAUUCCGCGUGCAGGAUGAAGGCCCUCGGGUUGUAAACUGCUUUUGUACGGAACGAAAAGGUCUCUCUUAAUACGGGGGGCUCAUGACGUACCGUAAGAUAAGCACCGGCUAACUACGUGCCAGCAG
rnacentral:rRNA from 1 species